AGUGAACGCUGGCGGUAGGCCUAACACAUGCAAGUCGAACGGCAGCACAGUAAGAGCUUGCUCUUACGGGUGGCGAGUGGCGGACGGGUGAGGAACACAUCGGAAUCUACUUUUUCGUGGGGGAUAACGUAGGGAAACUUACGCUAAUACCGCAUACGACCUACGGGUGAAAGCAGGGGAUCUUCGGACCUUGCGCGAUUGAAUGAGCCGAUGUCGGAUUAGCUAGUUGGCGGGGUAAAGGCCCACCAAGGCGACGAUCCGUAGCUGGUCUGAGAGGAUGAUCAGCCACACUGGAACUGAGACACGGUCCAGACUCCUACGGGAGGCAGCAGUGGGGAAUAUUGGACAAUGGGCGCAGGCCUGAUCCAGCCAUACCGCGUGGGUGAAGAAGGCCUUCGGGUUGUAAAGCCCUUUUGUUGGGAAAGAAAAGCAGCAGGUUAAUACCCCGCUGUUCUGACGGUACCCAAAGAAUAAGCACCGGCUAACUUCGUG
rnacentral:rRNA from 1 species